UACAGAGGGUGCGAGCGUUAAUCGGAAUUACUGGGCGUAAAGCGUGCGUAGACGGUUAUUUAAGUCGGGUGUGAAAGCCCCGGGCUCAACCUGGGAAUUGCAUUCGAGACUGAAUAGCUAGGGUACGGUAGAGGGAAGUGGAAUUUCCGGUGUAGCGGUGAAAUGCGUAGAUAUCAGGAGGAACACCGGUGGUGUAGACGGCUCACUGGACCGUAACUGACGCUGAGACACGAAAGCGUGGGUAGCAAACAGG
rnacentral:rRNA from 1 species